UAGAAGCAGCCAUCAUUUAAAGAAAGCGUAAUAGCUCACUGGUCGAGUCGGCCUGCGCGGAAGAUGUAACGGGGCUAAACCAUGCACCGAAGCUGCGGCAGCGACGUUUAUGCGUUGUUGGGUAGGGGAGCGUUCUGUAAGCCUGCGAAGGUGGCCUGUGAGGGUUGCUGGAGGUAUCAGAAGUGCGAAUGCUGACAUAAGUAACGAUAAAGCGGGUGAAAAGCCCGCUCGCCGGAAGACCAAGGGUUCCUGUCCAACGUUAAUCGGGGCAGGGUGAGUCGACCCCUAAGGCGAGGCCGAAAGGCGUAGUCGAUGGGAAACGGGUUAAUAUUCCCGUACUUGGUGUUACUGCGAAGGGGGGACGGAGAAGGCUAUGUUGGCCGGGCGACGGUUGUCCCGGUUUAAGCGUGUAGGUGUGUGUUCCAGGUAAAUCCGGUUCACUUUAACACUGAGGCGUGACGACGAGGCACUACGGUGCUGAAGCAACAAAUGCCCUGCUUCCAGGAAAAGCCUCUAAGCAUCAGGUAACAUCAAAUCGUACCCCAAACCGACACAGGUGGUCAGGUAGAGAAUACCAAGGCGCUUGAGAGAACUCGGGUGAAGGAACUAGGCAAAAUGGUGCCGUAACUUCGGGAGAAGGCACGCUGACACGUAGGUGAAGUGAUUUACUCAUGGAGCUGAAGUCAGUCGAAGAUACCAGCUGGCUGCAACUGUUUAUUAAAAACACAGCACUGUGCAAACACGAAAGUGGACGUAUACGGUGUGACGCCUGCCCGGUGCCGGAAGGUUAAUUGAUGGGGUCAGCGCAAGCGAAGCUCCUGAUCGAAGCCCCGGUAAACGGCGGCCGUAACUAUAACGGUCCUAAGGUAGCGAAAUUCCUUGUCGGGUAAGUUCCGACCUGCACGAAUGGCGUAAUGAUGGCCAGGCUGUCUCCACCCGAGACUCAGUGAAAUUGAACUCGCUGUGAAGAUGCAGUGUACCCGCGGCAAGACGGAAAGACCCCGUGAACCUUUACUAUAGCUUGACACUGAACAUUGAGCCUUGAUGUGUAG
rnacentral:rRNA from 1 species